GAAAGGACAUGUGUAGAAUCCCUUGCUGCAGGCUAAUUUUCUCAGAGCUGUGUUUGAGCUGUGCGUUUUGUGGAGGUUCACUCUACCAGGUUUGAGAGGUUGGUACACGCUGGCUCUCAGCAGACCAAGUUUUGUCGGAGCUGAGAGGUCCCUGGAGAUCCUGGGAGGUCUGAGAGGUCGGCAAGCGCUGGCUCUCAACAGACAUGGCUGCCUGGUCAGAGCUGUGUUGGAAUGGUGUGGCCCUGGGAGAAACUGGGAGGUUUGCGAUUUGAAAGGUUGGCACGUACUGGCCCUCAAUACAGAGAUUUUUAUCAUCUAUACUAUUACCCACAUGGCAAGCUGCAUAUUAAGAUAUGAGGUACACAAUGAAUGCCUGGAUGACUGGGUGCACUACAGCUAAUUCCCUGUGAAAAAAAAACAUCUUAAAUUCUUUCAUCACAGAGGAUAAUGAAAACGCUGGCUCCUCAGACAAAGUAAGAUAAAUGCCAAUCUCUAAUGCUAUAAAUAAGAAGUAGAAAAAAAAAAUUACAAAAAAUUGUUAAAGAAGCUGGAAAGAUUCUUGUGUACAGGCGGGCUGAUGAAUCCAGUAAUAGGAGAACUGUAACAUCAAAAAUCCUUCAAAUUCACUGUUUUUGUCUCUUUAUAUGUAGAUAAGAGGUCAAUAGUACAAAAUCAGUGAACAAAGAAUUUUAUACUGAUUAAUUGUCAUCAAGAAGCUUUAUUUUGCUGAUUAAGUUACUUCAAAAUUUUCUAAAUUACUUGGUUUAGUUUUUCUACAUGCAAAUAGGAGGUUAAUAGAAACUCGUGAAUAAAGACUCUUAACAAUUACAUCAAGAAUUUUUAAAAAAAACAGCUUGUUCCUUUUUUUUUUCAUCUUUAAAAGAGGAAAGAAAAAAAGAGAAAGAGAAAGUUUGUUCCUGUCUUUUAUAUAUGCAUACAAGAGGUCAAUAAGAGAACGGGAGAAGGAAGGAGAGAGAAGGGGAAAUCUCAAAUUUAUAUUGCCUGAGACUUUUUUUUUUGUUUCUUUGUUUGUGCAGAUCUGCUUUUUGUUUUACCACCUGAAAAGAAAUGGCGCCUAAAAGUGAUAAGACGGAUAAAGCAAAAAAGCAGUAUGGAGCAGAUAAAUCUUUAGAUUAACCUAUUAGCUCGUUUUAUUCUUCCAAAUCACAGAUAAAUACUCAAGGCUUAUCUCCUGGACCAUUGUUGGAUCAAACUUUAGAUUCAAGUGUUUUAGAUUCGUCAAAUGUAAUAACAAAUAUCAACUUAAAUCAAGCAUGAGAGAAUCUAUACAGUAAAAUUAAAAUAGAUCUGGAAAAGAAUCAAGCAGCAAUGAAGGAGGAAAUCUCCCAGAUCCGAUCAAUAAUGGCUCAUGAAAUUACACAA